GAAACCGUUCAGGGGUAAACCUGAGAAACCCCAAAAGAUCGAAUGGGGAGAUUCAUCCGUCGACGAAGGCUGGCUCCCGUCGGUGCGCGAUACUCCGGGUGGACCUUCGUGGUUCCAUUAGCGAGGGUACACCACCGGCGGCGAAUGUUCCGGCCACGUAGUCGUGCACUUCUCCCCUAGUAGAACGUCGCGACCCGUUGCGUGUCGGUCUACGGCCCGAGCGGUUGCCUGUUUCGUUGCUCCCAGAGCACGCGACAGACCCUCGGCCGCCCGGCCGGCUGCGCGACGGUACUCUGAGACGGUAUCGGGCCGCAACCAAUCCAUUUUCGAAUGUGUGUGCGUCAGGCCCGCCGCAAGCCCGGUCAGUUCUUACCCGGAGGCACGGACCUAGUGCCGUCCCCGGGCCUGGCCAGCUGUUAGCAGGCGGUGUCCUUGGACUGGGCCGCCAAGCUUCGAAUUACCGGUCGGCGACGCUACUGCUUUGGGUACUCUCAGGACCCGUCUUGAAACACGGACCAAGGAGUCUAACAUGUGCGCGAGUCAUUGGGAGAAAGAAACCUAAAGGCGGAAUGAAAGUGAAGGUCGACCUAUGCGUCGACCGAGGGAGGAUCGGCCGCGUUACGAUGCGGCCUCGCACUCCCGGGGCGUCUCGUUCUCAUUGCGAGAAAGAGGCGCACCUAGAGCGUACACGUUGGGACCCGAAUGGGGG
rnacentral:rRNA from 1 species